CCCAGUCGUGGGGGAUAACGCAGCGAAAGCUGUGCUAAUACCGCAUACGAUCUAUGGAUGAAAGCGGGGGACUCGCAAGAGCCUCGCGCGAUUGGAGCGGCCGAUAUCAGAUUAGCUAGUUGGUGGGGUAAAAGCCCACCAAGGCGACGAUCUGUAGCUGGUCUGAGAGGGCGACCAGCCACACUGGAACUGAGACACGGUCCAGACUCCUACGGGAGGCAGCAGUGGGGAAUUUUGGACAAUGGGCGCAAGCCUGAUCCAGCAAUGCCGCGUGCAGGAUGAAGGCCUUCGGGUUGUAAACUGCUUUUGUACGGAACGAAACGGCGAGCUCUAAUAAAGUUUGCUAAUGACGGUACCGUAAGAAUAGGCACCGGCUAACUACGUGCCAGCAGCCGCGGUAAUACGUAGGGUGCGAGCGUUAAUCGGAAUUACUGGGCGUAAAGCGUGCGCAGGCGGUUAUAUAAGACAGAUGUGAAAUCCCCGGGCUCAACCUGGGACCUGCAUUUGUGACUGUAUAGCUAGAGUACGGUAGAGGGGGAUGGAAUUCCGCGUGUAGCAGUGAAAUGCGUAGAUAUGCGGAGGAACACCGAUGGCGAAGGCAAUCCCCUGGACCUGUACUGACGCUCAUGCACGAAAGCGUGGGGAGCAAACAGGAUUAGAUACCCUGGUAGUCCACGCCCUAAACGAUGUCAACU
rnacentral:rRNA from 1 species